AGAGUUUGAUCAUGGCUCAGAACGUACGCUGGCGGCACGCCUAACACAUGCAAGUCGAACGAAGUAGCAAUACUUAGUGGCAGACGGGUGAGUAACAUGUAGGUAUCUGCCCUUUGGCCUGGAAUAACACGAGGAAACUUGUGCUAAUACCGGAUAAGUCUUUACGGAGAAAGCUUUAUGCACCAUUGGAUGAGCCUGCACUUGAUUAGUUUGUUGGUGGGGUAAUGGCCUACCAAGACUGUGAUCAAUAGCUGAUUUGAGAGGAUGAUCAGCCACAUUGGGACUGAGACACGGCCCAAACUCCUACGGGAGGCAGCAGUGGGGAAUCUUGCACAAUGGAGGAAACUCUGAUGCAGCGAUGCCGCGUGAGUGAAGAAGGCCCUUGGGUUGUAAAGCUCUUUCGUCGGGGAAGAAAAUGACUGUACCCGAAUAAGAAGGUCCGGCUAACUUCGUGCCAGCAGCCGCGGUAAUACGAAGGGACCUAGCGUAGUUCGGAAUUACUGGGCUUAAAGAGUUCGUAGGUGGUUGAAAAAGUUGGUGGUGAAAUCCCAGAGCUUAACUCUGGAACUGCCAUCAAAACUUUUCAGCUAGAGUAUGAUAGAGGAAAGCAGAAUUUCUAGUGUAGAGGUGAAAUUCGUAGAUAUUAGAAAGAAUACCAAUUGCGAAGGCAGCUUUCUGGAUCAUUACUGACACUGAGGAACGAAAGCAUGGGUAGCGAAGAGGAUUAGAUACCCUCGUAGUCCAUGCCGUAAACGAUGUGUGUUAGACGUUGGAAAUUUAUUUUCAGUGUCGCAGCGAAAGCGAUAAACACACCGCCUGGGGAGUACGACCGCAAGGUUAAAACUCAAAUGAAUUGACGGGGACCCGCACAAGUAGUGGAGCAUGUGGUUUAAUUCGAAGAUACGCGCAGAACCUUACCAACACUUGACAUGUUCGUCGCGACUUUAAGAGAUUAAAGUUUUCGGUUCGGCCGGACGAAACACAGGUGCUGCAUGGCUGUCGUCAGCUCGUGUCGUGAGAUGUUGGGUUAAGUCCCGCAACGAGCGCAACCCUCACUUUUAGUUGCCAUCAUUAAGUUGGGCACUCUGAAAGAACUGCCAGUGAUAAGCUGGAGGAAGGUGGGGAUGACGUCAAGUCCUCAUGGCCCUUACGUGUUGGGCUACACACGUGCUACAAUGGUAUCUACAACAGGAAGCAAAACGGCGACGUUAAGCAAAUCCUUAAAAGAUACCUCAGUUCGGAUUGCACUCUGCAACUCGAGUGCAUGAAGCUGGAAUUACUAGUAAUCGUGGAUCAGCGUGCCACGGUGAA
rnacentral:rRNA from 1 species